rnacentral:misc_RNA from 1 species
CGACCCUCAAGCACAGCUUGGUGUUGGGCGCGGUCCCGGGAGGGACCCGCCCGUAACUCGUAGGCGACCGCCGCCCGCGCCCCCAGCGUAGCAAGCUCACGCGUUCGCUCGGGGACGGCGCGUCUGGCCCGCCAGGCAAAACCCAAACCCUUUUCAAG